GCCAGCAUAGUGUAGUGUUUUCUCUGUCAGACUACAACUCUGGAGACCAAGGUUCGAUUCCCAGCUCAGCCA